rnacentral:sRNA from 1 species
UUGUACAAUUAUUUCAUAAUACAAACCUACUUUAUGAGUUGUUUUUUUUAGCAAACUUUGAUGUUAAUUUAACCACCACUGGACUCAACACUUCAAAAGAAAAUUUUGAGGACUCUUUCCAAUCCAAUACAACAGCCAACGGUAAACCUACGACUCCUUUCCCAAGUAAG